rnacentral:rRNA from 1 species
AGAGCGAACGCUGGCGGCAGGCCUAAUACAUGCAAGUCGAACGGAUCCUUCGGGAUUAGUGGCGGACGGGUGAGUAACACGUGGGAACGUACCCUUUGGUUCGGAACAACUCAGGGAAACUUGAGCUAAUGCUGAAUGUGCCCUUCGGGGAAAAGAUUUAUCGCCAUUGGAGCGGCCCGCGUCUGAUUAGCUAGUUGGUAGGGUAAAGGCCUACCAAGGCUACGAUCAGUAGCUGGUCUGAGAGGAUGAUCAGCCACACUGGGACUGAGACACGGCCCAGACUCCUACGGGAGGCAGCAGUAGGGAAUCUUGCGCAAUGGGCGAAAGCCUGACGCAGCCAUGCCGCGUGAAUGAUGAAGGUCUUAGGAUUGUAAAAUUCUUUCAGCGGGGACGAUAAUGACGGUACCCGCAGAAGAAGCCCCGGCUAACUUCGCGCCAGCAGCCGC